UCCUUGACGUACAGUCAAAACCAGCAAGUUCAAAAAACUCUCAAGCAAGGACUGAGAUCCAUGGUGACUGCAUUCCUGCUUGUGUGGCUCUGCCUGGGUGCUGCUUCAGAGAUCCUUGGUUUGCAAGGAAAAAGAGAAUCAAUAUGGAGAGCAAUUUCUGAAGCUGAAAGAAGAGGAUGGAGUCCUGGUAGAAGAAGAAAUAUGGGCAAACUGUGGCUUCUGAGCAUCACCAAAGUAAAAUGAGAAACCUGGUAAUAGUUGGCAGAUUUAACAUGGACUUGCAUGACAGACCAAGGUGAAAAAACAAGAAAGACGAUGAGAAAGUUAUGCUACAACGUACCAGAAAGGUGGACAGGAUCAAAGAAAUGUACACUUCAAAAUUAUAGUACUGGUUUUUGUGGAGAUAGAACUAAUUUUCUUCAUAGCAGCUAGUAUGUGGCUAUGUUUUGGUUUUGUGCUGGAAAUAGUGUUGAUAAUACAAGGAUGUUCUAGUUAUUGCUAAGCAGUGCUUACACAGAGUCAAGGUCUUUUCUGCUUCUCACCACUCCACCAGCGAAUAGGCUGGGGAUGCACAAGGAGGUGGGAGGGGAUGCAGCUGGGACAGCUGACCCCAGCUGACCAAAGGAUAUUCCACACCAUAUGUUGUCAUGCUCAACAUGCAAAGCUGGGGGAAUAAAAAGAAAGGGGAGACAUUCAGAUUUAUGGCUUUUGUCUUCCCAAGUAACCAUCACACAUGAUGGAGCCCGACUUUCCUGGAGCUGGCUGAACACCUGCGUGGCAAUGAGAAGCUGUGAAUGAAUUCCUUGUUUUGCUUUCCUUGUGUGUGCGGCUUUUGCUUUACCUCUGAAACUGUCUUUAUCUCAAUCCAUGUUUUCUUCCAAUUGAUCUGUAAUUGCUCUAAAUUCCGAUUAAGAGUAAUCUUCCAAGUAUCUACCCCAUACCACCAGGGGGGAGUAAAUAAGUGGCUGUGUGGUGUUUAGUUGGCAUUGGGGGUUAAACCAUAACAUUCUUUAAUUAUUUAAGACAUAAAAUAGUCUGAAGAAUUGUAUUUUCAAUUUUCUGAAAAAAUAAUGAUUAACUUUUAGUUAAUAUCUAGAUUUUGGUAUUCAAAAAUUCCAAAACGAAAAAUGGAAGCACCUUUGAAUCUGAGAAAGUCCUGCAUCUCUUGUUGUUAUAAACAAAAAAUCAGCAAAGAUACAUGUUUCUUUAAGCAUGUGCAUAUCUUAUUGAUCCAGAGAUUUUCACAGAGACUUUUCUGAAAGACUUAGCCCUGCAGCUGCCCUAAUUUGGAAAGAAUUUCCCUUAAUCAGUAAAUAAUUGGAAAUAUAGUUGUUUUCUGUGUUCUUGUGAAAAAAAUUCCACUACAACAAUAAACAAUUAUGGAACACUGAAAGUAGCAAUGGCAAUAGAUUUAGUAAGAAACCUAACCUUAUGGUUUCCAGUUAAUGAACCUUGUGGAGUAUUAUAGGGAAGUUUUUCUGCAAUGCUUAGAAAACAGACCAUACGGAGCAAAAUCAGUGCAAAACCGAAAAUUAAUGAACCCAGAUUGAGGACUAGAACGUCAUCUUGUGCUGCCUGCAAAAACAGCCUACAAGGCAGGAAAUGGUGUUAGACAUUAUAUGGUUAUUCCCCAGUCUCCUCCUGGAUAAUUGUACCAGUGUAACCUUAGGGUGCUUGUUUCAGAGACCACACACUGUCUCAUGCUUGGUCCCUACUCCCACUAGAAAGCAUGAGAAGCUUUCUUCCUUCACUUGACAACAACACCAGAAACUGAACACCUUUGUGUGUUGCUUCACUGCCUAAAUUAUAUAGCAGACAUUAUCCUAUUGGAUAUUAUUUCUAAUGUUAGCAAAACAAAAUGGUGCAAAGUAAACAAUUAGACAAGCAUUUCACUGUGUCCCUAGUACAAUAAUGUUGUGAAGUUCUCCUCCAUUCAAACUGCUCUGAAUUAGUACUCUUGAUAAAGACAGUAGGUUGUGCUUUGCAAUGAGCUUGUCUGCUUCACUGAAGACUUCUGUUGAACUUAACAGGAUGACGCAGAAAGAACAAGUAAGGCUUCUUAGGUCUGGUGAACCACCCAUGUUCAUUUCCUAUGUUCUACAUAUAUAUUUUUAAGGAUUGUUGUUUCAGACACCUGUAAAAAAAUAAAAUGAAAUAAAAUAAAAUAAAAUAAAAUAAAAUAAAAUAAAAUAAAAUAAAAUAAAAUAAAAUAAAAUAAAAUAAACAUAGCAUGUUGUAAUCCAAAUCUACAUGCAAAUAGAGCAAAAUAUUCAGCUGAAUUGAGAUUAAAAAAAACAACCACAGAAGAAAGGAAAAUGAAGAAGAGAAAUUUUAUAAAAAAUGUUCAGCUUCCAUUAGUGAAAAUUAGAAUGUAAUAAAUUAAAACAUCCUUACUGCAGGGCUUAUAUCUGCAAUGUAAGUUCAAUCUUGAUAAAAGAAAAUUUGUCAAAAUGUUUAAUAAUAAAAUCUGAGAAAUUUUGGAGUACCUUCUGCAUAUGAACUUGCUUGCAGAAGAUAAAGUUUAAUUAACCCAGGAAGUGCCAUGUGUCUCCUGUAAAAAACAACUAAAAAUAUAGCCUGAUUUCAAUGAAAAGACAGUAUUCAUGCUGUGUAUGCUGCCCAGCUGAGAGAAACUGUUUAUCCACAGAUUAUAAACAUUUCAAAGCAUGUCAUCUUUGUUAGAAAAAACCCUAACACUCAUAAAUCAAGAAAUAUCAUGGCAUUUUCUCUGGCAUGAUUGUAUAUUGUUCUAAUAAAAUUGUUGUUUUAUAUUUUAUUUAAUAUUAAAGUUGUUCAAUAAAUGUUUUUGGUUGAGUCUAAAAAGUCAGUUUUAAAGACAGUUAUACUAAAUUUGUGUUAAAAAAGACCCCUAUGUUAAAUACCUUUUAGACAUAAUAGCUUUAAACUACUUUCGUGACAGUGGACAGAAAUAAUCUUUUUAAGUUUUUUAAAGCUUAAAAUUAUACUGUAUCUAAGGGCAAAAUCAUCCUGGAUAAUUUUAUACACACUCACUUCAAUGACUAAUGAAACUCCAGAAUUAAACUGUUAGUUGAAAUAAAAGAAAAAUGACAAAUUGCAUUUUUAUGGAAUAUUUCAGAUGUUAGCUUGUAGUAUUUUGGCUUAAUUAUCCCAGAAAAUGCUUGUAAUUAUGUUUUUACAUUGUGACUGUUUUCUCUGUAGAACUGUGCAUUUCACAGGAAAAACAAUUAUGUUGCAAACAUCAGACUACCUAAGGCAUGUGUGUACUUCAUUUUAAGUUUCAGAGCAGCACUGAAAAUGCUCAGACAAAUGAGCUGUGGGAGAAAUCCAAGCCCAAAUAAAGGUGGAAUGAGUGGAAAUGAGCAGAGCAGGGCUGGGAGAUCAGGCCUUUGGGCUUGUUACAACUUUUAAAAAUAUAUUCUUAAAAUAAUUACAUAUUGUUAUCAAUAUUAUAUAUAUUUUAAUAUAUAACUACAAAAAAGUCUGCAUAUGUACACAAAUACAUACACGCAUCCUUUAUAGGAAAACUAUCCACUGUCCUCUCCAUCACUGACCAGUCUCCUUUUGAUUUUUCUGUAAAUAAAUCUCUUUCAGGUUCUUUCAUUAUAUGUAAUUCCUACUAACCAUUAAACAAACACACAGAACUAUCCAUGUCAUACGCAACCUCCCAUAGGUCCAUUAUUUCCCCUGUAAGAAUUUAUUUACUGUGUUCAUAUCUCAUUUGAUAUUUUUCUCUCUUCAGUUAUGGCAUUUAAAAUAAUAAAUUUGAGCAUGCUGUUGUCCCUACUCUGAACAUUCAGAUGUGCUUUAAGGACCAUUAACAUCUCUUUAUUUACAUUUUUAUUUUUGUCAUUUGGGAACUGAUCCAUUAUACUUCAAUAUAGCUUCUGUGUGUAGUCUUUAACAAAUGAUGCUAUAAAGUCAGCAUUUUUAGACUUAGAAGUUAUAAGAACCCUAGAGUUGAGACUUCCUCUUAAGUUUCACAAAGUUUAGCUUUCUUAAGUCAUCAGAUUCACUGACUAGUUACACCACUUUUUGCCACCAUUUGACAGAAAAAUUUCCCUAGGAAAAAAUACAGCAGUCCAAACUGCUCUUUUAAGGAACGUUCCCCCAGACCCUACAGUUGCUGACUUCCAAAUACACACUGUGCUCUUCAUCUCCAAAUGCUGAGGAGUACUGAAAAUUAGUUACGACUGCUGUCAAAGAAUUUUCCCAGUAGCUCAAUGUUAGAAAGUUAUUGUUAGAAGUUAAUUGGUCAUUAAUUGCUUAAGAUCAUUAAUGAUUUUAUGAUGCUCUACUUCAGUGAGAUUUAAAAUAUUAAUCACCGGCAGAAGAAAAAUGUCUCAGUUUCCUCUUCCUUUACUUUUAUGCAAUUUAACUGGGUAACUGGACUGGAUUAAUCUUACUACACUAUGGAUUUCUAAAAUUAAUAUGAACAAAAGUUACCAGUUGUGAAUAAAUAAAAAAUAUGACUGGAUUCAGACUGAACAGCUGCACACCAGCUGUACAGCUGCAUACAGUGCAGGUUUGUGCACUGUAGCUCUCUCUUCUGCAGGGUUUUUUGAAAGAAUUAUUGUGGUUCUGAACUCCCAGUGUUUAAUGUGACUUGACUUUUUCCUUAUUCUCACUUCUCAUGCUCACCAUAGUAAAAAUUCACAUUGAUGUGGCAUGAUAAGCAGGCAAGGCUUUAAAAUCACCACUUAAACUCAUUUCAUGGCUUGUCAUAUACUCCUGGAUGCUCCUGCCCAGUGCCAACAAAAAAAAUUGAUAUUGUAUGAAAUCAAAAGAACCAGGAACAUAACAUUAGUUGAAGUGUAGAAAAAUGUGUUUAUAUACACUGAGGUCUAAUUCAAAUGCUAAAUUGACCAAUUUUCUGAUAUUUGAAGUGGAAUUGUAAAUAAUUAGUUAGACACAAAACUGGUGAUUGUGUUAGCCUGCAUC